rnacentral:rRNA from 1 species
GUAGGUGAACCUGCGGAAGGAUCAUUACCGAGUGAGGGCCCUCUGGGUCCAACCUCCCCCCCGUGUUUAUUUUACCUUGUUGCUUCGGCGGGCCCGCCUUUACUGGCCGCCGGGGGGCUCACGCUCCCGGGCCCGCGCCCGCCGAAGACACCCCCGAACUCUGUCUGAAAUUGCAGUCUGAGUGAAAACGAAAUUUUUUAAAACUUUCAACAACGGAUCUCUUGGUUCCGGCAUCGAUGAAGAACGCAGCGAAAUGCGAUACGUAAUGUGAAUUGCAAAUUCAGUGAAUCAUCGAGUCUUUGAAGCACAUUGCGCCCCCUGGUAUUCCGGGGGGCAUGCCUGUCCGAGCGUCAUUGCUGCCCUCAAGCCCGGCUUGUGUGUUGGGCCCCGUCCCCCGAUCCCGGGGGACGGGCCCGAAAGGCAGCGGCGGCACCGCGUCGGUCCUCGAGCGUAUGGGGCUUUGUCACCCGCUCCGUAGGCCCGGCCGGCGCCUGCCGAUCAACCCCAAUUUUUAAUCCAGGUUGACCUCGGAUCAGGUAGGGAUACCCGCUGAACUUAAGCAUAUCAAUAAGCGGAGGAAAAGAAACCAACAGGGAUUG